CCUACGGGAGGCUGCAGUGAGGAAUUUUCGGCAAUGGGCGCAAGCCUGACCGAGCAACGCCGCGUGGAGGACGACGGCCUUCGGGUUGUAAACUCCUUUUGCGGGGGACGAUUGUGACUGUACCCCGCGAAUCAGGCUCGGCUAACUCUGUGCCAGCAGCCGCGGUAAGACAGAGGAGCCAAGCGUUGUCCGGAUUGACUGGGCGUAAAGCGCACGCAGGCGGCUGGGCACGUGGGGUGUGAAACCUGGCGGCUUAACUGCCAGACGCCAUCCCAUACGGCCCGGCUCGAGGCAGGCAGAGGUUCGUGGAAUUGCCGGUGUAGUGGUGAAAUGCGUAGAGAUCGGCAGGAACACCAAGGGCGAAAGCAGCGAACUGGGCCUGUUCUGACGCUCAGGUGCGAAAGCGUGGGGAGCGAACCGGCUUAGAUACCCCAGUAGUC
rnacentral:rRNA from 1 species